rnacentral:rRNA from 1 species
GAUGAACGCUAGCGGGAGGCUUAAUACAUGCAAGUCGAACGGUAACAUUGGAGCUUGCUUCAGAUGACGAGUGGCGCACGGGUGAGUAACGCGUACACGACCUACCUUUUACUAGGGGACAUACACUGGAAACGGAGUAAAUACCCUAUGUGAUUACACUUUUUAGAACGGUGUGAUUAAAGCUACGGCGGUAGAAGAUGGGUGUGCGUUCUAUUAGGUAGUUGGUAAGGUAACGGCUUACCAAGCCUACGAUAGAUAGGGGGCGUGAGAGCGUGACCCCCCACACGGGUACUGAGACACGGACCCGACUCCUACGGGAGGCAGCAGUAAGGAAUAUUGGACAAUGGGCGGAAGCCUGAUCCAGCCAUCCCGCGUGUAGGAUGACGGCCCUCUGGGUUGUAAACUACUUUUGUAUAGGACGAAACGCCUUCAUUUAUGGGGGUCUGACGGUACUAUAAGAAUAAGCACCGGCUAACUCCG